rnacentral:rRNA from 1 species
UUCCCGUACCGACCAUGGACCGGCAAAACCGAGACGGUGAGUACUAACCUCCGCCUCGUGGUGGUUCCUUCCUUCGGGUUGGUGUCGCCGCGUGGUGUUGGGACCGUAGCCGUAGUAGGUCAGCGCAGGGGUGACACGGAAUGGGAGCCGGCCGCGGAGGUGGUUUUCCGUGGUCAAGCACGCAGCCAGUCAUGUAGGCAAAUCCGCAUGGCGCGCAUGGCGAGGUGUGAUGAUGGGAGCCUUUUGGGCUCGAUAUCCGGUUGUCCAGGCCGUCGAGAAAAGCCUCGGCGUGAGGGCCAUGGCCGCCCGUACCCCAAACCGACACUGGUGGUCAGGUAGAGAAUACCAAGGCGAUCGAGCGAAUCCUGGUCAAGGAACUCGGCAAAUCACUCCCGUGCCUUCGGUAUAAGGGAGACCCGCUGGGGUGAACCGGCUAGCCCGGGGAGCUUUGGUGGGUGGCACAGACCAGGGGGUAGCGACUGUUUACCAAAAACACAGGUGCAUGCGAAGGCGAAAGCCGCUGUAUAUGCACUGACGCCUGCCCGGUGCCGGAAGGUUAAGAGGAUCCGUCAAUCCCUUCGGGGACGAAGCGGUGAAUUCAAGCCCCGGUAAACGGCGGUGGUAACUAUAACCAUCCUAAGGUAGCGAAAUUCCUUGUCGGGUAAGUUCCGACCUGCACGAAUGGCGUAACGACUUCCCCACUGUCUCGACCAGGAGCUCGGCGAAAUUGCAGUACGAGUAAAGAUGCUCGUUAAGCGCAGAAGGACGAAAAGACCCCGGGACCUUUACUAUACCUUGGUAUUGGCGUUAGGCGCGGAUUGUGUAGCAUAGGCGGGAGGCUUCGAAGCGUGGGCGCCAGCUCAUGUGGAGCCGCAAGGUGAAAUACCGCUCUGUUCUCGUUUGACGUCUAACCUCGACAAGUCAUCCUUGUCAGGGACAGUGCCUGGCGGGUAGUUCAACUGGGGCGGUUGCCUCCCAAAGAGUAACGGAGGCGCUCAAAGGUCCGCUCAGCCCGGUUGGCAAUCGGGUGUCGAGUGUAAUCGCACAAGCGGGCUUGACUGCGAGGACGACGGUCCGAGCAGGGACGAAAGUCGGAGAUAGUGAUCCGGUGCCGGCGCACGGGCGCGGCAUCGCUCAACGGAUAAAAGGUACCCCGGGGAUAACAGGCUGAUCAUUCCCAAGAGUCCAUAUCGACGGGAUGGUUUGGCACCUCGAUGUCGGCUCGUCGCAUCCUGGGGCUGGAGCAGGUCCCAAGGGUUCGGCUGUUCGCCGAUUAAAGCGGCACGCGAGCUGGGUUCAGAACGUCGUGAGACAGUUUGGUCUCUAUCCUCUGCGCUCGUUGGAAUCCUGAGGAGGCCUGCCCAUAGUACGAGAGGACCUGGGUGGACGAACCUCUGGUAUGCCGGUUGUCGCGCCAGCGGCACGGCCGGUUGGCUACGUUCGGGAGGGAUAACCGCUGAAAGCAUCUAAGCGGGAAGCCUGCUCCAAGAUUAGGAUUCCAUGGAUCUUCGAGAUCCUGUAGCCCGCAUGUUGAACACGUGUUUGAUAGGCCGGAGGUGGAAGUCCCGUGAGGGGUGGAGCCGACCGGUACUAACGGGCGAUGGCGACACAAC